AUUUCAGAAACUAAUGCUUUGUUCCAGACACAAUUUUUAGCCCUUAAGUUACGACUUCAAGUCACGACUCACGACUUCGUAGCGUUCC